rnacentral:rRNA from 1 species
UGAGGAAUAUUGCACAAUGGGCGCAAGCCUGAUGCAGCAACGCCGCGUGCGGGACGAAGGCCUUCGGGUCGUAAACCGCUUUUCUGGGGGACGAGACAGGACGGUACCUCAGGAAUAAGUCUCGGCUAACUACGUGCCAGCAGCCGCGGUAAAACGUAGGAGGCGAGCGUUAUCCGGAUUUACUGGGCGUAAAGCGCGCGCAGGCGGCUUCGUGAGUCGGACGUGAAAGCUCCUGGCUUAACUGGGAGAGGCCGUUCGAUACUGCGAGGCUUGAGGUUGGGAGAGGGGUGCGGAAUUCCCGGUGUAGUGGUGGAAUGCGUAGAUAUCGGGAGGAACACCAGUGGCGAAGGCGGCACCCUGGCCCACACCUGACGCUGAGGUGCGAAAGCGUGGGUAGCAAACAGG